rnacentral:rRNA from 1 species
UACGGGGGGUGCGAGCGUUGUCCGGAAUCACUGGCGUAAAGGGCGCGUAGGUGGUCUGAUAAGGGUGUGGUGAAAGUCCGGGGCUCAACCCUGGAUCCUGCCGUGCCGACUGUCAGACUCGAGGACUGUAGAGGCAGGCGGAAUCCGGGUGUAGCGGUGGAAUGCGUAGAGAUCCGGAGGAAGACCGGUGGCGAAGGCGGC